UCGCCAGACUCCUACGGGAGGCAGCAGUGGGGAAUAUUGGGCAAUGGGCGCAAGCCUGACCCAGCAACGCCGCGUGAAGGAAGAAGGCUUUCGGGUUGUAAACUUCUUUUAUGAGGGACGAAAGAAAUGACGGUACCUCAUGAAUAAGCCACGGCUAACUACGUGCCAGCAGCCGCGGUAAUACGUAGGUGGCAAGCGUUAUCCGGAUUUACUGGGCGUAAAGGGCGUGUAGGCGGGACUGCAAGUCAGAUGUGAAAUCCGGGGGCUCAACCCCCGAACUGCAUUUGAAACUGUUGGUCUUGAGUAUCGGAGAGGCAGGCGGAAUUCCUAGUGUAGCGGUGAAAUGCGUAGAUAUUAGGAGGAACACCAGUGGCGAAGGCGGCCUGCUGGACGACAACUGACGGUGAGGCGCGAAAGCGUGGGGAGCAAACAGGAUUAGAUACCCCCGUA
rnacentral:rRNA from 1 species